UUUCAUGAAGUUUUUUUUAGCAGCUGUUCUAAUUUUUUGUGAAGUAGAAAAAUGGAGCAACACUACAGAAAAAAAAGAUGCAGUUAAAACCUAUAACUACUGUAUGACCUUAUGGCCUCCUCCUACCUGUAUAAAGAUAUUGGUCAGUGCCAUAUAAAUCAUAGACGACAGUCGGCUUCUGAUCCCGGUCCACCACUCCAUUCAACAAAGUCCUCCCUGUGACAGAUGAUUUUUUGUUAUGUCUGUACCUUCCUCCUCAAUAGGUGUUAAUUCCCAGACGGGAGCCAUGAAAGGAUAUGAUUUCGGCAGAUAGGAAGUGAACCCGGUGACUGGCAGGGAAUAGAUGACUAACAGGUUCGGCCGGUACCUAUGUACAAAAGAUUGGCAGCAGGUCCCACUGGAACAAACCUCUGUCUACAAAACUUAACAACACAUCAUUGACGAUCUUGUCCUCACUAAAACAAUAGACACUUUGGAAAACCAUGAAUGCAGCAAAACUAUUUUAGAUGUUCUGACUGCUGGGUAUGCUGCAAUUUUGAGAAUGGGGACCCAAGUUGUCCGUCAGCAGAGAGCAGCGGUCGCAACCUGCUUUAACUUUACAGACGUCCUUUAAGAAAAGAAUAUGGUCUACCAACAUAAAUCAUCUUCCGUAUGACCCGCCUCAACAAAGUGUUUGGACACAGGUUUGAUAAACAGAUCUGUGACCAACCGAUCAUCUUUAACCAUGACCAGCGUAUCCAGAAACUGUACUGAUUCCAUUGAGGAGGUAAGAGUAAAAGAAAUGUGAUCAUCCAUGUUAUUUAAAAAUGUCAGAAAAUCAAGUAGCUGUGUGUGAGUACCCGUCCAGAUAAGAAAUACGUCGUCUAUAAAGCGCCACCACCCCAGCACAUGGCUGAAGUGGUGGCACGGAUAGACAAAGGUUUCCUCCAGGGCCGCCAUGAACACGUUGGUGUAAGUGGGCAUCAUGUUCGUUCCUAUGGCGGUCCCGGAGAGCUGUAAAUAAAAUUUGUUGUUGAAUGAAAAAUAGUUGUUCUUCAAUACAAUUUCUAGUAAAGACAUAAUAAAAGCACAUUUCUCUGGUGUAAAGUCUGGUGUAAUGGCCUGUCGCACUGCCUCCACCCCCGCCUCAUAUGGGAUCGAGGUGUAUAACGAGGCUACAUCC